CGAAUCCCCUCUCCCUCUCAGGCUAUAAAUUGGCCCUCCCCCAAGGUAUCAAGCAAUUCCCGCGAUCGAGCGCGUCUCCUCUUUAGCCAUUUUUAGCGUUCUGGACUUCCCCUAGGGUUUCCUUCUUCCACCCUCCUCUUCAGAAGGGUGAUCUAGAUCCAGGAGCACUUCGAGAAUUUUUAUCAGGGUGUUUUUGAGGAGCUAAGCAAGUUCAGAAAAAUUGAAAGCCUAAAUGUUUGUGACAAUCUGGCUGAUCAUUUGGUUGGUAAUGUAUAUGCUAAAUUCAGGGAUGAGGAUGAUGCUGCAAAUAUACUAGUCAACCUGAAAGGAAGAUAUUAUGACGGUGGUUUAAUAUUUAGGUGUUUUAUCUCAUGCUUAAUGCAUUUUGUCUCUUGUUUGUUAGUCUAUUACUUGUAUAUCAUAUAAUCUUUUUUCCUUUUUCUCAAA